rnacentral:lncRNA from 1 species
UUUCGGUUCACUGCAACCUCCGCCCCGUCCCGAGCUCAGGCGCUCAAGCGAUCCUCCUACCUCAGCCUCCCAAAUAAUUGGGACCACAGGCAUGUACAACAAAGCCCAGCUAUUUUAUUUGUAUUUUUUAGUAGAGAUGGGGUCUCAUCAUGUUGCCCAGGCUGGUCUCAAACUCCUGAGCUGAAGUGGUCCGCCCACCUCGGCCUCUUGAAGUUCUAGGAUUACAGGCAUGAGCCACCGUGCCCAGCUUGGCCUUGUUUUCAUACCCAGAUGGGGAGCUGCUGUCACCAGAUUCACUUCCUGCCAGCUGAGAACUCACCCCACCAACAAAAGUCUUCCAGGAGACCUGCAAAUGACAUUUCAUCUCUAACCAAGAGAAGGGUGUCCAUGUCUUCCUCAUGUCUUUCCUAACCAUGUGGCUUCCCUUCACUCACCUGAGGUUUGGAGUCUGGGGAGUCCAAACUACCUGGUACAACUCUGACCUGUGGCUAACGCUGUGAGCAAGUCAUUUCACCUCUCCCUGAGCCUAAUCCCCAGUCUUGACAGUGACCAAGGCUGGGCAUGGUUGCUCAUGUCUGUAAUCCCGGUGCUUUGGGAGGCUGAAGCAGGAGGAUUGCUUGAGGCCAGGAAUUGGAGAACAGCCUGGGCAACAUAGUGAGACCCUGUCUCUACAAAAAAAUUUAAAAAUUAGCCUGGCAUGCUGGUAUGUGCCUGUUAGUUUCAGCUACUCAGGAGGCUGAGGCAGGAGGGUCGCUUGAGCCCAGGAGCUGGAGGCUGCUCUGAGCUAUGACCAGUGGAUGGAGAGAUUACUGAAAUUGGAAGGAAAGAGACAUAGGUCCCCUUGAGAGGAUCGCAGCCAGGCUGAGGCAACCUCCCAGGGAGGGAGCCAGGGAACAGACACUCCUACUUCUCUCUCCUGCCUCCUGAUGUCCUGCUGGUGCUCACCAUUGGCCAAGUUGGUCAGUAAGGGAGCCUACUGAUGUGGGCUGCACAGGUGGCUCCCUGGGGCAAAAGCAGGGUGGGAGGGGAC